GGUAUUCUGUAUAACAAGAAUUACUUUACCAUGGUGAACAAAGGCCUGAUUUGAUCUGACUGUUGUCCUCACAAGAAGAUGAAAUCUGGACACACAGAGACACCAGGGAUGUUCACACAGAGAAGGCCAGGUGAGGAUGCAGUGAGAAGGCAGCCAUCUGCGAAUGAAAGAGAGCGGCCUCAAGAGAAACCAGCCCUGCUGACACCUUGAUCUUGGACUUCCAGCCUCCAGAAC
rnacentral:lncRNA from 10 species